AAAUUGAAGAGUUUGAUCAUGGCUCAGAUUGAACGCUGGCGGCAGGCCUAACACAUGCAAGUCGAACGGUAACAGGAAGCAGCUUGCUGCUUUGCUGACGAGUGGCGGACGGGUGAGUAAUGUCUGGGAAACUGCCUGAUGGAGGGGGGAUAACUACUGGAAACGGUGGCUAAUACCGCAUAACGUCGCAAGACCAAAGAGGGGGACCUUCGGGCCUCUUGCCAUCAGAUGUGCCCAGAUGGGAUUAGCUUGUUGGUGAGGUAACGGCUCACCAAGGCGACGAUCCCUAGCUGGUCUGAGAGGAUGACCAGCCACACUGGAACUGAGACACGGUCCAGACUCCUACGGGAGGCAGCAGUGGGGAAUAUUGCACAAUGGGCGCAAGCCUGAUGCAGCCAUGCCGCGUGUAUGAAGAAGGCCUUCGGGUUGUAAAGUACUUUCAGCGGGGAGGAAGGUGUUGUGGUUAAUAACCGCAGCAAUUGACGUUACCCGCAGAAGAAGCACCGGCUAACUCCGUGCCAGCAGCCGCGGUAAUACGGAGGGUGCAAGCGUUAAUCGGAAUUACUGGGCGUAAAGCGCACGCAGGCGGUCUGUCAAGUCGGAUGUGAAAUCCCCGGGCUCAACCUGGGAACUGCAUUCGAAACUGGCAGGCUUGAGUCUUGUAGAGGGGGGUAGAAUUCCAGGUGUAGCGGUGAAAUGCGUAGAGAUCUGGAGGAAUACCGGUGGCGAAGGCGGCCCCCUGGACAAAGACUGACGCUCAGGUGCGAAAGCGUGGGGAGCAAACAGGAUUAGAUACCCUGGUAGUCCACGCCGUAAACGAUGUCUACUUGGAGGUUGUGCCCUUGAGGCGUGGCUUCCGGAGCUAACGCGUUAAGUAGACCGCCUGGGGAGUACGGCCGCAAGGUUAAAACUCAAAUGAAUUGACGGGGGCCCGCACAAGCGGUGGAGCAUGUGGUUUAAUUCGAUGCAACGCGAAGAACCUUACCUGGUCUUGACAUCCACGGAAGUUUUCAGAGAUGAGAAUGUGCCUUCGGGAACCGUGAGACAGGUGCUGCAUGGCUGUCGUCAGCUCGUGUUGUGAAAUGUUGGGUUAAGUCCCGCAACGAGCGCAACCCUUAUCCUUUGUUGCCAGCGAUUAGGUCGGGAACUCAAAGGAGACUGCCAGUGAUAAACUGGAGGAAGGUGGGGAUGACGUCAAGUCAUCAUGGCCCUUACGACCAGGGCUACACACGUGCUACAAUGGCGCAUACAAAGAGAAGCGACCUCGCGAGAGCAAGCGGACCUCAUAAAGUGCGUCGUAGUCCGGAUUGGAGUCUGCAACUCGACUCCAUGAAGUCGGAAUCGCUAGUAAUCGUGGAUCAGAAUGCCACGGUGAAUACGUUCCCGGGCCUUGUACACACCGCCCGUCACACCAUGGGAGUGGGUUGCAAAAGAAGUAGGUAGCUUAACCUUCGGGAGGGCGCUUACCACUUUGUGAUUCAUGACUGGGGUGAAGUCGUAACAAGGUAACCGUAGGGGAACCUGCGGUUGGAUCACCUCCUUA
rnacentral:rRNA from 1 species